UCAGUUUUCAAACCCCUUUUUUGCAACUAUUAAAGUUAGUCUAAAGAGUGCCUCCCCAGCAAGCUACAAGGACAGUGAAUGGAAACAAAAUGGAAAAAAAUGCAACCACAGGAAAGCAGAACAGAGAAUGCAAGCAGACACAGGCAAGAUGAAGGUUAAAAACUUCUCUCAGCCUUGGGGCAAAAAUAUAGUAGACAUUCUCUGCCCCUCUGCCCCCUCCAGCCUCUUUAGAUGAUGAAGCCACAGGACUAUGAGCUCCUGGUUUGAAAGGUCGGUAAGUCUUUGUUUUCCUGGGGUCCUUAGGUUUCUGUGUCUUUCUGAAGUGUUUAAGGCAGAGGUUUUCCACAAAGGUGGCAUCACUAUCUAGAAGAUGUUUUCUAAAUUUGUGGGAGCAAUUUUGAUUGUCACAGUAAUUCAGUAAAACCCUUCCUUGGCUUUUGUCAGGCAAACUCCACAACAAUCCUGCACAACAAAGAACUGUCCUGCAACCUACAACUUUUGUCCUGCAUGACUUUUAAAACAUCCCACUGGGCAUUCACAUUGGCAAAAAAAGUCCAUUUAUAACCAUCUGGGCCUAAAUCCUAAUACAGCUCUUUAUAUACACAUGAUUCAUUUAUGUAGUUUUAAUAUACAUCAAAUUUUCUACAACACAAUGACAACAUAAAUCAAAUUUGGGUUUUUUGUGUGUUUUGUUUCUUGCUUUGUUUGGAAUUUUACUAACAGAUGUUCAUCAUUUCAGAAAACCAUGCGACUACUACAAUGCUCCUUAUGGUAUUUGGAUUGCUAGUACAAUGCUUUUUGAUCAGACUCCGUUUGCAGCUUUUAUAUUCAUAGAGCCUCUACAUCUAGUAAAUGGGACAUAGAAUUGGACAGUUAAGAAGAUGGGUGUACCAAACAAGUGGUAUGCAGUAGUUAAGGGGCGAAACACAAAUGUUUCCUGUACAAACUUGCAGCAAGUUAACAGCCAUCUUCACCAUUUUUCUAAGUUUUUUAGUCUAAUUACCAAAAUACAGAAGAAGGCUGGGAUUCAGGGUGGAGGCCUUGCUGGAAAUAAAUGUGCAUCUGGCCAAGCUAUGCUUGGUCCUCUCUCUCAGAACGCAAGUCAGGGGGUUUUUCUGAAGAAAAAAACCUGGCCAGGUGCGGUAACCCAUGCCUGUAAUCCCAGCACUUAGGGAGGCCGAGGUGGGCAGAUCACCUGAAGUCAGGAGUUCAAGACCAGCCGGGCCAACAUGGAGAAACCCCAUCUCUGUACUAAAAAUUAAAAAAAAAUUAGCCAGGCGUGGUGGUGAGCACCUGUAAUCCCAGCUACUCAGAAGGCUGAGGCAAGAGAAUUGCUUGAACCCAGAAGUCAGAGGUCGCAGUGAGUGGAGAUCGUGCCACUGCACUCCAGCCUGGGCAACAAAGCGGGACUCCACCUCAAAAACAAAAAAAACCUAAACAUCUUUGGAUGUACCUGUCAACUAUAAAUUCCUAUUCAAAUCUAAGAGACUGACGCUUAUUUACUGUAAACUAAUAUUACCACUUUUUAAAUGUAAAAAAUACAUAGCAAUAAAAAUUCCCAAAAAAUGUUAACAGAUGAAAGUGUUUUAAAAUGUGACAAGUCAAAUUAAAUUUUCUCAGACUUUC